rnacentral:rRNA from 1 species
GACGAACGCGGGCGGCGCGCUUAACACAUGCAAGUCGAGCGAGGAAACUUGAACAGCACCCUUGGGGGCGAAGAUAAAGUGGAUUAGCGGCGGACGGGGGAGUAACACGUGAGUAACCGGCCUGAGACAUUGGGAGAGCGUCGGGAAAGCGGGAGUAAUACCAAAUAAAAGGAUAAUGACAGAUGGGAUAACGAUGACAACUCCGGUGGUCUAAGAUGGACUCGCGUCCCAUUAGCUAGUUGGUAGAGUAAAAGCCUACCAAGGCGACGAUGGGUAGCCGGCCUGAGAGGGUGCACGGCCACAUUGGAACUGCGCAACGGUCCAAACUCCUACGGGAGGCAGCAGUGGGGAAUAUUGCACAAUGGAGGGAACUCUGAUGCAGCGACGCCGCGUGAACGAAGCAGGCUUUCGAGUCGUAAAGUUCUUUUAUAUGGGAAGAUAAUGACGGUACCAUAAGAAAAAGCCCCGGCUAACUACGUG